AGAACGAACGCUGGCGGCAGGCCUCAAACAUGCAAGUCUAGGGGGUGCAGCAAUGCAUCACCGGCGGACGGGUGCGUAACGCGUGGGAAUAUACCUAUUGGUUCGGAACAACUGAGGGAAACUUCAGCUAAUACCGAAUGUGUCCUAACGGAGAAAGAUUUAUCGCCAAUAGAUUAGCCCGCGUCCGAUUAGCUAGUUGGUGAGGUAAUGGCUCACCAAGGCUCCGAUCGGUAGCUGUUCUGAGAGGAAGAUCAGCCACACUGGGACUGAGACACGGCCCAGACUCCUACGGGAGGCAGCAGUUGGGAAUCUUGGACAAUGGGGGAAACUCUGAUCCAGCCAUGCCGCGUGAGUGAUGAAGGCCUUCGGGUUGUAAAACUCUUUCGACGGGACGAUAAUGACGGUACCCGUAGAAGAAGCUCCGGCUAACUUCGUGCCAGCAGCCGC
rnacentral:rRNA from 1 species